GAUUUCUCCUCCAGUUGGUUAAAGGAAACCUAACGGGAAGGCAGAUUUGUUGACGAGUUGCCUUACAUACUAAAUGAUGAUGACUACAUAUCGAAGUAUCGAGCCAGCCUAAAAGCUGCAGUUCUCAGGGCAAAAGCAUGUUCUUGAGCUUUAUUUGAAGGGUAUGAUGUUUGCAUAUCAGCUCACGCUCAACCACCACCUAAAACUCUAUCCCUGAUAGUCAAGUCAACCGGUGGAAAUGUGAUUCAUGAGCUAGAUAAA